CGCAGUCCAGGGACUUGUCCCCGGGCCACGCCAUCACUGUGCUGGGAAGCCCCCCGGGGCCCACCCGCAGCCGGUCUCCCCAAGAGUCCCGGUUCACAGGUCAGACGAUGGUGGCCACCCUUCUCCGGUGGUUCAGAUAUGAUCGAAACCUCUGGGUUUCCCAGUGGGUAACCUUGUUCCGUAGGUGAACCUGCGGAAGGAUCAUUAAAAGAGGAAUGGGUCCCUCGGGGCCCUCAGCUCUCACCCUUUGUGAAUCUACCUUCGUUGCUUUGGCGGGCCGUGGGGUCCCCGGACCCCCCGUCGACCCCGGUGGACGUGCGCCCGCCAGAGACCCCUAAACUCUGUUAAUUAGUGAAGUCCGAGUCAUAAUUUAAUCGUUAAAACUUUCAACAACGGAUCUCUUGGUUCUGGCAUCGAUGAAGAACGCAGCGAAAUGCGAUAAGUAAUGUGAAUUGCAAAAUUCAGUGAAUCAUCGAAUCUUUGAACGCACAUUGCGCCCUCUGGUAUUCCGGGGGGCAUGCCUGUUCGAGCGUCAUUACACCUCUCAAGCUCAGCUUGGUAUUGGGCGCCGCCUCCCCGGGGGCGCGCCCGAAAGUCAGCGGCGACGCGGUCGGUCUUCAAGCGUAGUAAAACCUCUGUUUCGCUUUUGGAGCCCGGGCGGGUCCGCCGGACAACCCCCAAUUUUUCAAUGGUUGACCUCGGAUCAGGUAGGGAUACCCGCUGAACUUAAGCAUAUCUA
rnacentral:rRNA from 1 species